GGGUGAGUAACACGUAUGCAACCUGGCCGUCACAGGUGGAUAACCGGAAGAAAUUCCGACUAAUACAGCAUAACACUCCUGAGGGACAUCCUUCGGGAGUCAAAGGAGGUAACUCCGGUGACGGAUGGGCAUGCGGCGCAUUAGGUAGUUGGUAGGGUAACGGCCUACCAAGCCGACGAUGCGUAGGGGUUCUGAGAGGAAGGUCCCCCACAUUGGAACUGAGACACGGUCCAAACUCCUACGGGAGGCAGCAGUGAGGAAUAUUGGUCAAUGGCCGGAAGGCCGAACCAGCCAAGUCGCGUGAGGGAAUAAGGCCCUAUGGGUCGUAAACCUCUUUUGUCAGGGAGCAAAGGCGUCCACGUGUGGUCGAGAGGAGAGUACCUGAAGAAAAAGCAUCGGCUAACUCCGUGCCAGCAGCCGCGGUAAUACGGAGGAUGCGAGCGUCAUCCGGAUUUAUUGGGUUUAAAGGGUGCGUAGGCGGAGUGUCAAGUCAGCGGUAAAAUUUCGGGGCUCAACCCCGUCGUGCCGUUGAAACUGACACCCUUGAGUGAGUGAGAAGUAAGCGGAAUGCGUGGUGUAGCGGUGAAAUGCAUAGAUAUCACGCAGAACGCCGAUUGCGAAGGCAGCUUACCGGCGCUCAACUGACGCUGAGGCACGAAAGUGCGGGUAUCGAACAGGAUUAGAUACCCUGGUAGUCCGCACAGUAAACGAU
rnacentral:rRNA from 1 species